GUUCCUUAAAUGUCUGUGAUAUGUUCAUUUUGCGCUAAUAAAGAGCUGUGUCAAUUUGAUGGUAAAUCUGCCAUUCAAAAAAUCGAUUUAGAAAUUUAUGUAGAAACUAUAGAUCUAAUACGAAAAAAACUUUCAAUAACUUUUCUGUGUAGCCCAUGAACAAAAGAAAGAAAGUGUUGAUAAGGUAGGUUUUUUUUAAAGUCGUCUGACAAUUUUUGUACACCUUUUAGCACAGCAUGAACCAUUUUUUUUAUUUAUUUGGCAACACUGAAGUUCAAUUUAGUCUCCUUGACAUUGUUUAUAAAGUUUAUCUCGAAAAUCUCCAAAAAACAAAAGAAGAAAGAUAACAAAUCUAUGGGUGCAAUGUUCUCAAGAGACCAAAAUUGGAUUGUUAACCACUAACAGUUGUAGUUCAUCUUAAAGAACUCUUAUGACGAAAGAAUGAAGCAAUAUAGGACAAAAUUUCCUUUUCCACUUAUAUUUCCAAUUUUUGUUUUUCAUGACUUAGGACACUUUGAAGCAGAAGUGAGCUAAGUGUAAAUUGACAAUGCUAUCCACUAAGAGGCUCAACAUUACAAUAUUUCUGAGCAUUUUAUUUCUUGGAAAUACUUUUUUAAAUGUACUGAUUCAAGCACUUUUAAUGCAAGUUUAAGAAAAUAAUGCAUCUUCUGUGGAAAAUAAUUAUGCUGCUUGAUUUUUUUUUAUUACAUUUGAAUAUUACUUUUUAUUGGUUUUAAACUGAAAUUAAAUAAUUUUGUAAGUAAACAUAGAAUGAAUGCAAUUAACUUGGAUGAGGCUGAUCAUCUGGAGUUAUGUGGAUUGAUAAUUUAAUUUCUAAGCAAGUUUUGUUUUUAGUACAUUCAUACAAGCUCUUGAGCAAUUAAACUCUAAGACAAUAUGAAGUGAGAGACAACAGGAUUUGAAGAGUGCAGCAUGGACUCUGGUAGAAAUGUGAUAUGUAGCUGAUGGCUUCUAAACUUCAUGAAGCAUGCUCAGAGUGCUACAAUCCAAUCUCUUUUGUGGACCAGUGGGAGGAGGGGGCAUCUGAGAGAAGGUUUCAAUGCUGCCUUUAGGCGCUCAACUAAGAAGCUCAAGUCAAGAUUCAAACUCAAGCCCCACUUGAUA